GUCCUUGUAGCUCAGCUGGAUAGAGCAUCCCCCUCCUAAGGGGAAGGUCGAAGGUUCAAAUCCUUUCAAGGACGCCA
rnacentral:tRNA from 1 species